rnacentral:rRNA from 1 species
UACGUAGGGGGCGAGCGUUGUCCGGAUUCAUUGGGCGUAAAGAGCUCGUAGGCGGUUCGGUAAGUCAGGUGUGAAAUCUCCACGCUCAACGUGGAGGGGCCACCUGAUACUGCCGUGACUCGAGUCCGGUAGGGGAGUAUGGAAUUCCCGGUGUAGCGGUGAAAUGCGCAGAUAUCGGGAGGAACACCAGUGGCGAAGGCGGUACUCUGGGCCGGAACUGACGCUGAGGAGCGAAAGCGUGGGUAGCAAACAGG